rnacentral:misc_RNA from 1 species
UUUGGGUUUUCGAUUGCUUGCCUGUUUCUUUCUUAUUGUUUAAAAAAUGAUCCUUUUUACAUACCGAUGAUUGGUUUGAGACACGAUAUGGAGCUUAGAACUGGUAGUUGAUUUUAUGAUCAGCUUUGUAGUGGAUCGACUUCGGUAGACAAUCGAUUUUAUGACAUUUCUGCAGUAUCUGCUUUGGGGGGGCUUUUCCUUCUAUUUAGUAAUUGCUUUAAGGCUGUUUUUUAGUUAAUAUUUCAGGUUUAGCUUUAAUUUAUUAAAACAAGAAUAGCUUCCAAAUUUGUAGGAGCUAAAAUAGGGCUUCAUUUUUCCCCCUCUUGUUGAAGUGGGUAGAUAUUAAUUUCAUAGUGCAAAUACUUUUGGGUGCGUUUCUUUAUAUUCUCGGAUUUAGUGUUUAAUGGAAAAAUUGAUUAGCUGCAAUUAAUUAGUUUUUUUUUUUAAUUUAAAAUUUGAUGAAAACUAUUAAAAAUGGAAAUUUUAUUUAAAGUUUAUGUGCCAGUGCAAAAAUGUUACUCCUACUUCUUAUUUCCCAUUUUGGUAUUACGUUUGGCUCGCAAAAAUAUGAAUUUUUUUUCCUUUUUUGAAUAAUUAAUUUUGCUUCCAAGUCUCUACAUGAUUAUGUAAUUUUGGUUCUGCUUGGUUUCCGAGGAAAUGGUGGAAAGUAGUCAAAUUUGAGAAAUUAAACUUUUCUGUGAUUUCCUUAUUCUUUUAGGUAAAAAUAAGAUUAAAGUGAACUUCUCUUUUGCAAGUGAGUUGAUCACAUUAUUUUUGCAAGAGAGAAAUUUACUUUACUCUUAUUUUGGUUUCCUCGUUUUACUCUCUUUUUGUGUUCUCUUUACUAAAUUUAAUAGAUCUUUUUAAGUUUGUUAAUGUAGAAUUUCUUGAAUUGUAAAUUGUUUUUGCUGGCUAGAGAUAGUUUUAAGCCAACCUCACUUGUAAUGCCAUUUGAUUUGGUGGUUUAUUCAGGGGAUUGUUUCGCCAGGUCAAAGCAUUCCAAAUUUUUCUGGUUCUGUUAUGUACCAUUUUUUGCCUUGCUACAUGUGGACCAUGCCUGAUGGAUGGGAUGCAGAAAUCCAAGGAGUAUGAUGGCUGUGGAGCCUAUGGAGAUGAUUGUGCUUUGGGUUUUCAAGAUAUUAUUGUUGCUGAUGCUAGUUCAGGCUAUGAAAAAGAAAGUCCUUUGACUCACAUGAGUAUCAAGAAUAUUUGUACCAAUUCUCAUUCUUUCUGCUUUCCUUCAACAUUGCCUGGUCUUCCAUCUAAUGAGCAAGAGCAUAAAGCAGAUGCUGUAGAAGUUGCUAGGAGUCUCUCUGAUAGUCCAUCUGUAGGACCAACUCAGGAUAGCAAGGGGGCUAGUAACAGGAGGUGGUUUUCAGAUUCUGGUGUGUUUGAGUUGUUAAAUGGGCGGACUGUUUCUUGUUCUUUGAAUUCCAUGGAGGGCAUCAAUCAAUUAUCAUCCAUGCAAAAUGGUAGUGCUAAUCAAAAUGACAUUUCUUCCUGUAGAGGUCCUUUACUAACUAAGAAGAGCGCAAGUUUUAGGCUGAACACAGACUCUGAGAUGACAAAAUCUAGUCCCUUUGAUGUUUCUGUGUCACCCCAUGUAAAAAUUAGCCCUCCUGUACUUGAUUGGGGAUACAAGCACUUGUAUUUUCCCUCCGUAGCUUUCUUAACAGUAGCUAAUACGUGUAAUAACAGCAUUUUAUAUGUGUAUGAACCGUUUAGUACCAAUAUACAGUUUUAUCCCUGCAAUUUUAGUGAUUUUUUUUUAGGACCUGGUGAAGUAGCAUCAGUUUGUUUUGUGUUUUUACCAAGAUGGCUGGGCUUGUCCUCAGCUCAUUUGAUCUUGCAGACAAGCUCUGGUGGUUUUCUGAUCCAGGUUAAAGGCUAUGCUACGGAGUCUCCUUACAAGAUUAGUCCUGUUAUAAGUGUGGAUGCUGCUUCUAGUGGACGGUUGAUUAGGAAUUUGUCUUUGUUUAAUCCUUUCAAUGAAAACCUCUAUGUUAGGGAAAUAAGCACAUGGAUUUUGGUUUCUCAAGGAAAUAUUUCCCAUCAUACUGAAGCAAUCUGUAGCGUAGAAAAUUUUCAAGAUUCUAACAGGCUGAGCCUGCUGAGUGUUAAGGAUUGGUUGGUUGUGAAGAGUGGCGAAGCUGAUUUUACAUUGAUGGCUAUAAGACUUCAUGAAAAUUGGGAGAUUGGUCCUCAUGGCAGUGAAACUGUCAUAGAGAUAGACCUCUCAUUUGAAUCUGAAGUUCAAAUUGUUGGUUCUUUUUGUAUGCAGUUACUAAGGGCUUCUCAAGACAAGUCUGAUACUAUUUUGGUUCCUCUUGAAAUUAAUCUAGAUGGAAAAGGGUCAUAUAAUGGUAUUUCAAGUUCAGUUUCAGUUUCUCUUGAGGCUCUGGUGUCAUGUGAUGCUAGCAACACUUUUGUUGCUAUCUCUUUGAGAAAUGGAGCUCCUCAUGUAUUUACUUUUGUCAAGAUUAGUGAAGUUGCACCAAAAAAAGUUUUCCUGUUCAAGUACAUGCAAGGCUUGCUACUGUUCCCAGGCACUGUUACACUGGCUGCUACAAUUACUUGCACUCAGCUGCUUGUUGAAUUACAUGAUCCCGUGCCUGAAAUAUCCAAUAUUUAUAAGAACUGCAAAUUAGUUGUGCUAACAAAUGACACUAGUAGUCCUCAAAUUGAAAUUCCUUGCCAGAGCAUAAUCCAUAUUUGUUUGAGACAUCAAAAGGAUUCAUCCAUUGGAAUUGAUCAUCAAUCUGAAAAGGCUGAAUCUGGAAGUAGAAGGUCAGGAUCAUUGGGCAGUAGCAGGAAUUUGCCUUUGAAGGUCACGGCAUUGGAGACCGUAGAAGCAGAUGAAUUUGUUUUGGAGAACUGGAAAUCUCAAGGUACCACAAGCAGCAUGUCUGUGCUUGAUGAUCAUGAAGUAAUUUUCCCAAAGGUUCAGGUUGGAACUCAACAUUCUAAGUGGAUCACCGUAAAGAAUCCUAGUGAGCAGCCAGUUGUAAUGCAGCUCAUUCUUAACUCAGGAGAAAUUAUUGAUGAAUGCAGGGGCACAGACAGUUUUAUACAACCCCUUUCAUCAAGUAGUUUGGUUCAUAAUGAGUUUAAGACAACUAGGUAUGGAUUCUCGGUGGCAGAGGGUGCACGAACAGAGGCCUACGUUCAUCCUUAUGGGAAAGCAUAUUUUGGGCCAAUUUUAUUUCAUCCUUCAAAUAGAUGUGGGUGGACAAGUUCUGCCCUGAUAAGGAACAAUCUUUCUGGUGUCGAAUGGUUAUCUUUGAGAGGAGUUGGAGGUUCACUUUCCCUUGUCCUGCUUGAGGGGUCUGAGCCUAUUCAGAGCAUAGAAUUUAAUCUCAACUUGUCAUUUCCUCUAAAUCUCUCUCCUCCAGACCCGUUAUUUAACAUGAAAGAGACCACUUAUGCUUGUUCUCAGCAGCUGUCGAAAGAGCUGUAUGCCCAAAACACGGGAGACUUGCCUUUUGAGGUGAAAAGUAUUGAAGUUUCUGGAACAGAGUGUCGGUUGGAUGGGUUUAUUGUUCAUAAUUGUAACGGUUUUUCACUUGAACCAGGUGAGUCAACAAAGCUUUUGAUAUCAUACCACCCUGAUUUUUAUGCGCCAAUGUUACAAAGAGAUCUAGAACUGGCCUUGGCUAGCGGAAUUUUUGUGAUACCAAUGAAGGCAAGUCUUCCUGUAUAUGUGUUCAAUCUUUGCAAGAAAUCAGUAUUCUGGAUGAGAUUGAAGAAAUUCUCUGCAGUUGUGUUUCUUUCUGCUUCCUUGAUGUUCUUGAUCUUUUGUUGCAUAUUCCCCCAAGUGAUGAGUUUUGGCUCCCAGGAUUAUUUCUAUAAGAGUGAGAAGAGUGUUCAUGCUACAGCGAGAAGUUCAGGGAAAUCUGCUCGCCAGGAUCUUAGUCAGAAAAGCAGUAAGUUUUGUAUGCCUCCUGAAAUGGAUGGCUUGUUAAGCUCAGUUGAAGGCAAAACCUCAGAGCAGGCAUCUGGUUAUAAAUAUCCUGGUAGUCAACUUGGAGGCCCAGACCAUGGGAUAACUGUUGAGAAUGGGAUACCAUCCCUAGAAGAUCACAAAGCAGUACCAUCUUUGCUGUCAAAAUCUGUAGCAAUUGAAAAUUCUAAUGCACUUGACGCUUCCCAACCUUGUAGCCUUACCGUCAGGAUUGGAAAAGAGAAAGGAAGAAGGCGAAGGAAGAGAAAGGGUGUUACUGCAGGUUUAACAGGACUUUUUGAAGUUUCAAGUAGUCAAAGUGGGAAUUCCACACCUUCAUCUCCUCUAUCUCCUGUAAUGAAUGUGACUCCUAAUCGUACUUGGUCACCAUCUCCUGACAUGGACCCUAUUGAAGCUAGAAAUCCAUUCACUCUAGUGGCUGACCAACAGGGUGAGGUUCGAGUGGCUGAGUCUACUGCCAAGGCAACUGUAUUGGAGCCCAGGGUUUAUUUAGAAUGCUACAGUAGUAAUUGUUUCUCUGCUACUGCAAAGCAACUUUCAGUGCCAGAAGAAACUACUGGAAAGCCCGUUUUGUUGCCUUCUGCCACUAUUCCUUCUGGUGGUAGGGCUGUCCCCAAUCUGAUGCACACUUCUCCAGCUUCAAAAUCUACAAUUGCUCCUCAUGCUCGAGCUCCUGGGCCCAGGCUUUAUAACCAGAAAAAAGUAGAAGAAAAGGUAGGGGAUAAAUAUAAAUAUGAUAUCUGGGGUGAUCAUUUUUCUGGACUCCAUUUAAUAGGUAGUUCAAAGGAUGUUACAACCAUGAAACCCGUAACAACAGAAAACAAUUCCAAUAGCUUCUUUGUAAGGGGUCCACAAGCCCUUAUGACAAAGUAUCCUCCAAAAUCUGUGAAUUGCUAUCAAGAAGAGGGGUAAUGAUAAUUUUACCAAAUAAUUUGCCUUGUUAUAUUUCUUUAACUUGCCUUUUUAAAACUUUCAAAAGUUUUCUUCACACUCUAAUGAUGCAAGAAAUUGCAUCUUUUUAAUGCCUUUGUAUAUAUUAUAAAUGAUUGCUUUCAAAUUUUGUUUUAUAGAAUUCUAUAUAAACAGUUACCCCAGUAUUGUUUUUCAUUCUCAGUCUCAUGCUUUUGAGGAAAGGUCUCACUGUUGGCCUGUUAACUUGCUGGAAGAAUAUUUCUCAUUUUGCUUAGUUGGUACAAUAGUUGCUCUUCUGAUUAUUUCUUAUAAAAUGAUUCAGAAGGGGAAAAUGGAAAGCAAAUGCUUUACAAAUUGGACGCCUAUACCAUCUUUGGAAUGUUUUGUCAAGAACUAACAAGCCUAUUACAGUGCUACUAAAUUGCUGAUAACUGCCCAAGAAUACUUGUAGAAUUUCAAUAUUUGAUUAUUUGUGCGAGUAAUCAUGAACAUGAAUAUUUGGUUCAAUUGUUGAUUACACAGAAGUGAGAAUGAGAAGACUUUUUAUCAACUUUUGUAUGUUUAAUUUCUUGUUGGUAUGGUGGUUGUCAUUUUUAAUCUGUUUAAAGUUGAUUGCUUGAAGUGAUCAAUGUGCUGGUAAGGGGAGACUCAAAUCUAGAUGGCUAAUUAGAAUUGCAUCUGCAUGUAAUGUAAGAGGCAAAAUUUUCUAUGAUCUGUUAAAAAUCUAGUGUUUUUUUUGCUUACUAGACCUGUUAAUUGAUGUUCUGCUGAAGUUUUGGUGGCUGUCGGAUUUAUCAUAUGAGCAUAUCAUAAUAAAGCAUUUGAGUGGUGGUGGAGAUGGUGAGAAUCAGGAUUUAUAUGCUACAUCUGCAUAGAAGAGGUAUUAUGCAGUAUUUACACUGACUAUUAAAAGCUAUAUGUAUGGGUGUGAGUGGGGGGACAUGCUUGUUUCUUAAAAUGUUAAUUGGAAAUCGUACUCUCUACCUGUAUGCUUGUUUCGAAGUGCAGGAUCUUGUGAUGAGAUAGCUAUGUGAACUGAACCAGUAUGCUUAAUUUGAAGCAAUCUUGAUCUAAUUUGUAUGCAACAGAAAAUCCGAGUCUAAGACUUGAGAGCACUUUUAAGAGGCCUUGACCUUGAGAUUCAAGAAUGAUGAUCAGCUUGUGAUGUUAAGUUCCGCGCCUGCAAAGAAGCUCUUGCUUGCAACGUGUUGCUUGCAAGCAGUAAGGUUAGUGCUUGGUAGCUUAAAAUGUCUUUCAUUUAUUGCUGUCCAUUGAAGUAAGCUACUGGAAUGGACUAUUUGGAAGAAGUGUAAGGCAUCGUUUGACUCAUGGAAUAAAAAUAAAAUAGGAAUAGAUAGCUAUCCUAUUGUUGAAUAAUCAACACAAUUUUUACUCUAUUCUACUACGAUCCAUCUGUGCAACAAAGGCAAGCGUUAGUACUUAAAAGUUUAUAUGCUUAAUUUAGAGUUGGAUGAGGUAAUAAUCUGGGGACGAUUUGUUCUUGGCAAGCAAAUAGGAUACUACUUCACGGACCACUGUGGUAAAAGCAGACUAUAAAUGCAAAGUCUGUGGUAGCAUGCCAUAAAGCCAUAAAGGUUGUUAGAAAUCGUUAACUUUCAGACUGCUUGGUGAGAAAACCUGCAACAGAUCGCAGAUGGUUAAAGACCAGCAAAGGACAUGUUACAGAUAAGACGGAUUUUUGGUCCGCAAAACUGUUUGAUGUUUACCACAGAGAAGAGGGCCCGUGCUCAUGUUUGCCGAGACCCAGCAACAAUUGGCUACCAUUUCUAAAUGAUGAUUAUUAAUUGCUAUUUUGUGGGGGACCCCAAGUGUUUUUUUUUUCCUCUCAAAACAGAGCUGGCAGAACCUAUAUGGGAAACCAGACGCAGACCGCAUCAAUCCCAUCAUCUAAUCAUCAUAACUAAUUGGUUGUGGUCUCAUUCUUUGUUUGUGGGUAUGAGCUGCCUCUCUCUAUUUUGAUAGGUUCUAAAAUGCUAGAGAUGUUGUGAAGUGUAGUGUUAUAUUUUUGCAAUAUCUAUAUUUUUUUCCUCUUCUAAAUAAGCUUGUAUAUCUGGAUUUUAAUCAGUUCACAGAUCAUUAGGAUGUAUUAGAAGUGGUCCAGUCUUUUGGUGUCCACUGGACCACAUCAUGCACACUGAAUAAGGACUGUGACCCAUCACCCUUUCCCUUGGAGUCUUGCUCUUGACUACCCUUCAUAGUCCUAGCAAGGCACACAAGACAGAAUUGAGAAUGAUAUAGCUACUUAAUUUCUGUACAAGAGGAUUUUGCAAAAAUCUG